AGGAGUUCUAGAUUAGCCAUGCAUGUCUAAGUGCAGGCCUUCAUAUGGUGAAACCGCGAAUGGCUCAUUAAAUCAGCUAUGGUUUAUUGGAUCAUCUUCGUUAAAUGGAUAACUGUAAUAACUCUAGAGCUAAUACAUGCCAUGAUGCCCUGACCCUAUCCACUCGCUGGCUGGGGAAUGGGUGCACUUAUUAGAUCAGAAGCCAACCAGUGCAUGCGUUCGAGCCCUUUCCGGGGUGAGAUCGUGUGGGCUGUAGUACUUCUGGUGACUCUGGAUAAUUGUUACAGAUCGCAGUCGACCUUGAGUCGGCGACGGGUCCUUCAAAUGUCUGCCCUAUCAACUUUCGAUGGUAGGUGACCUGCCUACCAUGGUGAUAACGGGUAACGGGGAAUCAGGGUUCGAUUCCGGAGAGGGAGCCUGAGAAACGGCUACCACUUCCAAGGGAGGCAGCAGGCGCGCAAAUUACCCACUCCCAGUACGGGGAGGUGGUGACGAAAAAUACCGAUGCGGGACUCAUUUAAGAGGCUCCGUAAUCGGAAUGAGUGGACUCUAAAUCCUUUCACGAGGAUCAAUUGGAGGGCAAGUCUGGUGCCAGCAGCCGCGGUAACUCCAGCUCCAAUAGCGUAUAUUAAAGUUGCUGCAGUUAAAAAGCUCGUAGUUGGAUCUCGGUAGCAUUGUUGCCUGCAUAGUACUUAACCGUCAGUGUGUGCGUCGUAUUGUGUGCACGUGUGUGUGUGUGUGUGUGUGCGGUGCUCUGCUCGGCUUUGUCUACCUGCGUUGCCUACCUACUGCGCGUUUUCAUACGCCUGUGUAGUGUAAUGUUGGAAAUUUGGCUGGCCGGCAGAUUGUACUGCUACUGCAUGUCAUAUCGUGCCGCGGUGGAUGCACAUGAAGCACUGUCGUGUUGAGCUGGCAAGGCGACGGUGCCACCUUUGAGCCAUGUCUGUGGUCUAGCAGCCGCAGGUGUAGGCGAGUGUCGGGCAGUACUCUGUACUUGUGUGCGGAGUCUAGUCGGCUCGUCUGCAUGCCAAUGGAUGCCC
rnacentral:rRNA from 1 species